UUUGGGAAUCAUUCCUUGACGAAACUCGUAGAGGACCUCGAAAAAUAUUGGUAAGUGUAAAAUUGUAUCGAGUUAGAGUAUGUUUUGAAGCUGAUUAGUGGUCCGAAUUAAGUGACUUUAAAUCUGUAAAAACAGGGCAGUUUUGAAUAUUCUUCUUACGAGGCCGUUUUUGCUAUGUUGAGCUAAUAAUUUGGGCUGUGUGUCUUCUGAGAACUUGUAAUUUACAUUGUAAGGUUCAAUUUGGUGUAUUAUUUGGACAAUUUGAAUAACUCUACAAAUUGUUAUGAUUUUUCAAAUAAACAGUGCCAGCAAAUGCAUUUGUUCAAACAAAACCUAGCAGUUUCAUGCAAUUAUCUUCCGGGGCUGUUACUGCUGUGUUAGGUCGAUAAUUUGGGGUUGGUUUCUAAAGUGAACUUGUAGAUGAAGUUGUUAUCUUUAAUUUGAUAUAUAGUUUAGGGUAUUCGGAUAAGUAUGGUGAUCGUAGUGAUUGUUAGAAUUAGCCCGACAAGAAAUUCUUAAUAAAUGUUUCAAGAAAUUGACUAAGUGAUAUAGUGGAAUAAUACGGUUAUAUUAGAAUCUUGUUAAGUGAUGAAUAUUUUUAUUGGUAUCGACCGUACUAAAGCUCUCACUCAAGGCUUGAGCAUGGCUUGAGCGUAAGGAUAUUUAUUUAUAGCACCUUGCACUGGACUUCAGGGGUUCAAUGAAUGUAAAUCGUUCAAUGACUGGACGAGUGAAAGAACGUUAUCGUGGAAGUCAUAUUUGUUGUCGCUUAACAAUUUAUGAAGUGAAAUUUAUUAUGAAAUGAUUAUAGUAAUCUUUCUUAUUAUUUGGAAUGAUUGAUUUAUUAUUGUAUUUUUUAAUGAUAGAUUGAAAUUA